UAGAUUCCAAUGGGGCUUUUCUUUACAUGAUGUUUAUUUAUAAGACCAAUCUAUAAAAAAGAAUAAUUACAGCCAGGAGCUGAUUAUUUGAAGAGAUCUUUAAAUCUUUAAGCUCUUAGUAUAAAAUAGUUAAUCACUUUAGAUUGGAUGCUCUUCACUCUAGAAAAUAAUUCCUUUGGAUACAUCAAGGAAAAAUGUAUUUUCUUGUGAUUUGGUAACAUAUAGUCACAUCUUGGAGUUUGUUUUAUAAAACCUUAAAGAUGUUAUUUAAGGAGGAUUUCUCUUCUAGGUUAAGAAGCUCAUGAAGAUUCCAUGAGACUCCUACCUUUGCCGUGGGCUCCAGGAGCCUGCCUGACUUGAGACUAUUACAAUGCCCUUUUCCAACCUGUGUAAUCUCUCUUUCAGAGUCCUGGGUCAGUUGCUCUAACAUUCUCUUGUCCAGGGGCACCUCCCAGGGAGCCCACCCAGAUGGCCCCCAGCUGCUCUUCAACCUCCUCCGGGCCUUCAUUUUCUCUACUUAUCCAGCAAGUUCCCUGUGUAGUAGGUGGGGACUCAGGAACCCUGCCUUCUCCCUCCGUACGUUCUGUCAUAUAAGCUGCCCCCUCCCAGAUCUGCCUAUGUCCUCCUCCACAACCCCUUGCAGCUGACUUAGCUCUGGUCAUGGGAUGGAUGGGAUGCCCUGUCAUAGCAUUGACCACGCCUCUUCCUUCCUUCCUUUUAUUCACCUGUCUAUCCAUCCAUCCAUCCAUCCAUCCAUCCAUCAAUUCAUCCAUCCAACUCUAAAGGCUGUCAAAGAUGGAGAGGCCCUGCUCUCUGCCUUUGCUGCAAGGUGAUGGGGAAAAGCGUUGUAUAAUUGAUCAAUAUUUAAAAGACUUUAACAAGCAUUUCAUAGCCUCUGUAUUUGCCCUUCCCUGAUUUAACAAGAGUGGAUGGUGGUGGAUGUGGUGCUUGCUAAUCCAUGGCUCAUUAGAAGGUGGUAGCAAAAGGAGAAUGGAGCCUUCAUGGAACUAAGGCCAGUCACCUAGACAGAGUGGCCAGAAAUGAGGCUGGGCUGUUGUAAGAUGCUUCAGGAUAUUUUAAGGCAUUCAGUCCUUAUCCUAACAACAGUGGGAAGGUAUAAAGAUUUUAAAGCAGAGGACUGGUAUAACUGAAACCAUGCUUUGAGAAAGUCUCUUGUGAACUGAUUUAAGUCAUUUUUGUUGAUCAACAGUUCCCAAGUUAUCUUGGUAUAGAUGGGCAGUUGCCAUCCAUGAGAGGCUGAGGCUGUGUCUCCACCCUCUCAGACCAAAUUCUGGCAUGGACAUAAAUGCUAGCAAACUGGUCCAAAGUACUUGUAUCAUCUACUCCUUGAACUUACGUGAGUCCUAUUGUUCAACCCUAGGCACCCUGAUAAAUGCUUAGUUACUCUAAGGUGAAUGUUCCUAAAGUAAGAUUAGCCAAAGUCUUACCUAUUCAGAUCAGCAGACAGAGUUGGGCACACAGAACCAAAGACAACGCUAGACUUGGAUCAUCAGGCUACUGGGUUUGCUGGUGUCUUAGUUGAUUUGUGCUGUGAGGAGUAGCAUGAACUGGGCAGUUUAUAAAGAACAGAAAUUUAUUUCUCACAGUUCUGGAGGCUGGAAAGUUCAAGAUUAAGGUGCCAGUGAGGACUGCCCUCUACGCCCAAGGUGGAGCCUUUGAUGCUGCAUCCUUCAGAAGGGAGGAAUGGUGUGUCCUCACAUGACAGAAGGUGGAAGGGCAGAAAGGAAAUGAGCUCCCUCUGUGAAGUCUCUGUAGGGAACCUAAUCUCAUUUAUGAGAGGAGUAGCCCUCAUGACCUAAGUGCCUCUUAAAUGCCUCACAUCUCAAUAGCACCACAUUGUCAACAUCUGAAUUUUGGAAUGGAGUGGGGGCAUGUUCAGACGACAGUAGCUGGAUUCUCAGAUUAUCUGUAUGAGGUCAUGUUUGUUUAUUCUCUCCAGUCCUCAAACACAGCAGUUUACUACUCUGAGACUAAUAAAUGUUGUAUGAUUAAUGAACCUGCUAGUGCAGAUUUAGAUAAUAAUACUUGAAGUACUUGCAAUGGUCACUUCUGGAGGGUGGAUUUAUGACUGAGUAUUUUAAAUGUUAUCUAACAGUCCCUAGAGUACAGAUUUAAGUUAAUUUUUUACAUACAUAUCAGUUUAUACUGAAGUUAAAUGUAAAUGGGCUAAAUGUCCCAGUCAAAAGAACAUAGACCGGCAAAUUCAAUAGAGUCAAGACCCAUCGGUGUGUUGUAUUCAGGAGACCCAUCUCACAUGCAAAGACACAUAUAGACUCAAAAUAAAGGGAUGGAGGAAGAUUUUUCCAAGCAAAUGGAGAGCAAAAAAAAAAAUAAAUAAAUAAAAUAAAAUAAAAAAAAAAUAAAUAAAUAAAAAGCAGGGGUUGGAACCCUAGUUUCUGAUAAAACAGACUUUAAACCAACAAAGAUCAAAAGAGACAAAGAAGGGCAUUACAUAAUGGUAAAGGGAUCAAUGAGACAAGAAGGGCUAAUGAUCCUAAAUAUAUACACACCCAAUACAGGAGCACUCACGUACAGAAAUCAAGUUCUUAAGGACCUACAAAGAGGCUUGGACUCCCACACAAUAAUAGUGGGAGACUUUAACACUCCACUGUCAAUAUUAGACACAUCAACAAGACAGAAAAUUAACAAGGAUAUCGAGGACUUGAACUCAGAUCUGGACCAAGCACACCUAAUAGAUAUCUACAGAAAUCUCCACCCUAAAUCCACAGAAAAUACAUUCUUCUCAGCACCACAUCACACCUACUCUAAAAUUGACCACAUACUUAGAAGUUAAUCACUCCUCUGCAAAUGCAAUAGAAUGGAAAUCAUAACAGUCUCUUAGAUUACAGUGUGAUCAAAUUAUAAUUCAGGAUUAAGAAACUCACUCAAAACCACACAACUACAACCUGCUCCUGAAUGACGACUGGAUAAAUAAUGAAAUGAAGGCAGAAAUGAAGUUUUACAGGCAAUGUAACAAUAGUUUUAGCUAUUGUGUGGAAAGUGGAUUGGAAGAGACCAGAGUAGAUUUAAGGAAUGCAGUUAGGAGACCUUUGCAAAUGCCCCAGUGAGAGAGGAUUAGGACUAAAGAGAGCAAUCACUGAGUGCUGACUGUGGAAGAGGCCAAAUGAGGGAGAAGAGCUGGAGAUUCCCCAGAACUUGGACUUCAUAACUGUGGUAGGACACACUGUCAUUUGCUGUGGGAUGAGUCUGCUUCCCAGUUAGACGGUGAGCUCCCUUAAAGCAGGGACUAGGCUCUCACCCCUGUGUCCUUGGAGCCCAGAGUUGUGCUUAGCAAAGUGUGUUAAACUCUGAGGAAAAGGAAAGAUAAGUGAUGGAAAAAGAAAUAAGGAAGAAGGAGAUGAGAUGAGAAGGGAUGGGGGCUCACCUGGUAAGGGAAGGGUCGAGCGAGGACCACCAGGGUUAGAGGAGGACUUUGGUUGUUUUCCAUCCCAGCUUCGUACUUUGCCAAACGUGAAGGCAAACACUCACCGUGCAAAGGGUGCAGAAGAUUCAGGUUAUGGGGGCCUGCUUUUAGGGGGUUACCUUGAAUCUCUUCACUCAAGCAGGGAGGGGUCUGUUCAGGCUGAAGAAACAGCUCAGGAGUCCAUGGCUGGCACUUGCCCUGUGCUCCCGCACUGAGACAUGCUGACUUCCAGCCAUGAGACAGAACCCAGAAGUUCCUCAACAGUCAAGUUAUGUCUGAUAAACCCAUUAUAAGUAAAAAAUAUCAGAAAUCAAAAGUGUAUUUCUGACUUACAGUAUUUUAAAUUUCUGACGAGUUUAACUGGACAUAGCCCAUUGUCGGUAUUGUUUUUGCACCAUUGUGUAAAGUUGAGAAACUGUAAGUCAAAUCCUUGUAAUGCAGGGAUUGUCAGCAGGUGGGUGACUGAAAAACAAUUUUGCCAUUCUUCACUAGCCUCCGGCAAGCCAUUUCCUGGCCCUUCCACUGUUAUUUAAAAAAUGAUGAUGAGGGCUUAGGGGAAGAAAACCAAGCCCUUGACACACUUUAUCACCACACCCCUGGCCUUCACCAUUAGAGGUUUCCUCACUUGCUCACCUGGUAACUAAGUUGUUCACAGCUUGUCUGGUAUGUUUCACAGGAUUUGUAACAAAGUCCACCCUGGCCAUCAUGAAGACCCAGAAGGGAGGCAGGCUUCCCAGGCAUGCUUUCUGGUCUGCAUGCUGACCAUGCAAUCUCUCAGGCUCUCCUAGGCAUUCUGCUUAAACAAACAUUAUUUACGUUCGGCAGGAGAACCAUUCCUGAUUGCCUGCUUUUUCCUCACUCACAUAAAACCUCACAUUUAAUUUCUGUUUACACACACAUAAACCAUAUUUUUAGGGGCAGCCUGGGAAAUCCUGAGUUGGAGAUGGAUUUUGCCUUUUGAAAACACAGAGGUGAGCGACAUCUGUAUAUUGUGUUAUCAGAGGCAUGACACGUGGUUGCUUGGGACCAGGUGUUUCACAGAAUCUGAGUGAAGUUGUAAAACUCGAGUUGACAAGUAAGGCGGUAGCCCUGUUGUUUUAGCAAAGGCUUGAUUACCAAUAUUACAAAGCCUUUCAUCUUUGGGGAGGCAACAAAACAGUUUAAAAUCUUGGGGUGCUAUGAAUGGGCUGAGAUUCGGCCAAAGAGGACAGUCUCUGACAAGCUCAUACACAUUUGAUUUGUAAAAGCAUCUCCAAGUGAACUGGGUGGGUGGGGAGCAGACAUUCAUUUGAGGUUAAACUUGGAGGAUUGUUGAAUUCAUUGGGCAUUCAAGUCUUUACUUCAAGGCCUUAAAUCAAUCAAUGCCAAUAUUGUCCCAAUUGGCAGUAUAUGGUGUGGGUAGAUAACCUUCUCUGAUUUAAUUCGCAUUCAGUGCAGACUGAGUCUGAAUCCUGAAGUCUUUGAGUUGGUUUACAGAACAAAAGGAGGAACAUGGAGAGAUAAGACCAAAGGGGAGUUGUGUCUUAUUUUGUUUCCUGAUAUAUCCUUCCCUGGGUUAAUUCACCGCACAGGUCAGUUUUCACUAGGUUUCUUCCCCAUGCUCCAUCCUUUUCUCUACGCCACCAUUUCCUGACCCUUUGUAGAUGGCUUUGACUUCUUUUGGGAACUCCGCUAACAGAUUAUUGAGAUCUAACUUGUCUCGUUUUUGCUGAAAACCAUUAAUAAAGGUGGACUAAAUUUCUUUGGGUUUAUUUGCAGGAUGAAGUGAGGGGAUAACUGCAUAUUAUUUAUGAGAAGCUCAACCACUUGCAAGUGAAAUAUCCUUAAUUUUAGCUUUUACUUGUAUAUUUGCUCAUGAAUAAAUAUCUCUCCAUGAUUUUUAGUUACUUGAAAGAAAUGGUAGUUAUAUGUACAUUUGGGUACUUUGAGUUGAGACUAGGCAGUACAUUGGAAUUAUAACACUUGUCCUGGGAAGUAGUAUUUCUGGAAUUUUGUCAGUUUUUUGGUGAGUGUUUGAGUUGGAUACAUCGACUGAUAGGUUUUCUUCCAAGACACAGAACUUGGUUCAUCGAUGUCUUUCUUGUUUAUGCUAUUGUGUAGUUUUUUUUUUUUUUUAAGAUAGGGUCUAACUCUGUCACUCAGGCUGGAGUACAGUAGCCUGGCCACAGCUCAGGGAAGCCUUGAGCUUCAGGGCUCUUAAGAAGCUGGGGACUACGGGUGUAAGCUACCACGCUAGGUAAUUAAAUUUUUUUUUUUGUAGAGACAUGGUUUUGCCAUGUCCAGGCUGGUCUCAGACUCUUCAAGGGAUCUUCCUGCCAUGGCCUUCCAAAAUGCUGAGAUUAUAAGUGUGAGCUACUGUGCCUGGCUAUUGUGUAGCAUUGAGCUUUGGAGGAGCAGUUGAUUUCCUUCUCAAUUAAAAAUGAAAACACUGGGGAGUCUUUCAAAGCUGACAAUGGGAAAUGAUGUAAAAUAGCAAAAAUUCUACGAGCUCUUCCCUUCAUCUCCCUGUUUCUUCCACAGUACCUUAGAUGAUGCUGACGAUAAUAACAAUUAACAUUGAAUAAGUGCUUCGAUGAUGUGUCAGAUAACCCCCCUUUUUUUUCCUUUUUCCUUUUCUGAGAUGGAGUCUUGCUCUGUUGCCCAGGCUGGAGUGUCGUGGCAUGAUCUUGGCUUACUGUAACCUCUGUCUCCUGGGUUCAAGCGAUUCAACAUGAAUUAACUAAUUGUUUUUGCACAGCCCUACCCGAUGAGGAAGCAUGAUGAGUGAGGAAAAUUCCACACCCAAGUCUGCAUCUCUCGGAAGAGAUACCCGUUUGUUUCACUUACUGAAGGCUGGCUGGAAAACGCAGCCCUAAUGUCAAGCCCUGGGGUGAAUGGCAUUUCAUGAGAGGAGGCUUAUCUGAGGGUAAGUGACUCUGGCCACCCUUGCUCCUAAACUGAGGCCACUAGUGGGGAAAGAGGC